rnacentral:rRNA from 1 species
ACAUGCCUACAACUUAGCGUUAAUGCACCAGAUCCCAUUAUAACUCCGUAGUUAAGUGCGCUCAAGCUAGACUAGUACUGGGAUGGUUGACUGCCUGGGAAGUCUUAGUAUUUUACAUGCC